rnacentral:rRNA from 1 species
UACGAAGGGGGGCUAGCGUUGCUCGGAAUCACUGGGCGUAAAGCGCACGUAGGCGGCUUGUUAAGUCAGGGGUGAAAUCCUGGAGCUCAACUCCAGAACUGCCUUUGAUACUGGCGAGCUUGAGUUCGGGAGAGGUGAGUGGAACUGCGAGUGUAGAGGUGAAAUUCGUAGAUAUUCGCAAGAACACCAGUGGCGAAGGCGGCUCACUGGCCCGAUACUGACGCUGAGGUGCGAAAAGCGUGGGGGAGCAAACAGGG